UAUAUAUAUAUAUAUAUAUAUAUAUACUACUUUGGGAAGCUGUGUGUGGUCGUUGAAGCUAGCUUAUAUGUGUGUGUGUGGAUAGUGAUGAAUUAAAAGAGAAAAAGGUAUUGGGGCGUCUCAAUCUAAAUACAAGGCUAAGACGAAUGAUAAAAUAAUUAGCUGAGUAAUUUGAUUGAGCCGCGUCAAUAUCUCCUUUUUCUUUACACUUUUCCAUCUCCACAAUUUUAUAUAGCUACCUCUCUGCCUCAGCCAAAUAAUUUCUCCAGGUAUGUGCUGAUUCUUUUUUUUUUUUUUUGACAUUUGGUGAUUCUUUAUAAUAUCUUAUUACUCUUAUAUUCUCAAAUAAUUCUGUUUAUAUUUUUAUGUACAUGGUAUAUUCUUAAUUAUUUUACUUUUUCCUUAUAAAUAUAAUAGGAUUAUGCGUUUGAUUUUCUUUAUAAUAAUGAUAUAAAAAGUCCCUAUAUACAUCAAAAUUGGGAUUAUAUAUAUACACGCGCAUCAUAUAUAUAGCUAUGAUUCAUGUAUAUAUUAUCACUUAUAUAUAUAUCAUAUAACUAUGGUUUUAAAAGUCCUUAUUGCCUAUAAUUAAGAUCCUGGAUUUUCUUGGAUGUAUACUAAGAUGUAUAUAUAUGUAGAUAUCAAAUAAAUAUUAUUGGCGGACAGAAACUAUAUAUAUAUUUGUUAGUUCAUUUAUUUCGUGGUACAAUAUUAUUCAUUAAUGUAAUAUGGGUUUUAUGUCACUUAUUAUAUAUUUCAAAGAUUCCUCUCUGACAUUUUAAAAAGAAAAAUCCAAGAAAUUAAUCAAUAUAGAAACGACAUAUACAUAUAGCCAUCUCUUUUUUUUUUUUUUUGUAAGCAUACAGCCAUUUCUUGGAUAUAUAUCAGCUUAAUUUCAUAAUAUAAAUUAGGGUUAAUAAUAAAGGGGGUCGUAUAUUGAGAGAUAAUUAGGACUAUAUAAACUAUACAUCCGAUGCAUGUGUAUAUCUCUUUAUAUAUAGCUUUAAUUAUAUCUGAAUUAACGAUAUUAUUCAAAAGAGUAGGUAUAAGACGUUUAUCAAGUAUAACAGAGCCUAACUAACUGAUGAGUUCAUGAUUAAUAAACUACUCAUCAUAGAUCAACAAUAAGUUAAUUUUAAAUUAAGCAGUACUACAAAAAGGAAAUUUAGCAACAGUUAUGUAGCAACACUACAAACAAAAGUGUUACUAAAUAUGCUAUUUUUUUAAUUAUAAAGACUUGUUUGAAAAAAGUGUUGCCAAAUCUCUAUUUAGUUAGAUUUUUCAUUUAUUUAUUUAUUUUAGUAGUUUAUUAAAAAUAUCAAGUACAACACUUCUAAAUAAGCGAUGCGAUUUCAAUUUACACCAUUAAAAUAGCAACAGUUUUUAUAAAAGUGUGUCUAAUGAUAUUUUUAAGUAAUUUUUUUUCUAGUAAUAAUUAAUAAUAAUAUAUUUUUUAAAAACUAAAUUAAGAACACGUACUCAAGUACAUAUUCUAAUAACUGCUCAUACUUCUUUCGUGCUAAAUUUCCCAUUCCUGCGCAUAAAGAACUUGGUUUCCUCUGGUUUUCUUUAUGCUGCUGGUAAGCUCUUUUGAAAGUUUUCAAAGCUUCAUCCUCACUCUCCCAUCAGAAUUGAAGGUGAUCUUCUUUAGAAAGGUUGAAAGGUCACUCCCAUUCAACCCUUCUCUGGUUUUUAAACUUUUUCUUAUUUUCUCGUAUGUCGUAUGCUUAGGGUGUUCUACUUUUUAGUUGAAAAUUGUAAGUUUAAUAUUUAUAAUGAUUACUUAUAAUUUUUACUAACCAUGGUUCAAAGAGACAGUGCUUCUAUAUUUUACGAGGACUAUUGAGGAAAGAAGAACAAAUUAAAUUUAAAGAAUGAGAGACAAUAGAGCAGAGUAAAUUUCAAACCAAUUAAACUAAGCAAGGGCACAAGAAAACAAGUUCAAGAGGAUAUGAUAUAAUCCACCUCCACAGAGUUCAGAAAAAUCAAAGAAAGACACAACAAAGCCCAUGCAGCAAGCUUUGCCAGUGAUUCGGAUGGACUAAUUGCAGUUUGAUGAAGAGAGUGGACAACACAUUAUUUCUAUGAAUUUUUUGUUUUUAUUUCAUUUAAUUGUCUUGCAAAUCAAAGUGAUAAAUUAGAAAUUCACAUUGUCGAUAUACACAAUUUGACAUAUUUACUGUCUUCAUUGUAAUAGUUUAUGUAGAGCUUUGUAAUACUUAAAUAAUUUUGUAUUAAUUUUAAAUUAUGUUCUAUAACUUUUACAUUUAAUGCGAAAAAAUUUAUGCAAAUUCUAUUUGAUGUACGU